rnacentral:rRNA from 1 species
AGCACUCCUACGGGAGGCAGCAGUGGGGAAUAUUGCACAAUGGGCGCAAGCCUGAUGCAGCCAUGCCGCGUGUAUGAAGAAGGCCUUCGGGUUGUAAAGUACUUUCAGCAGUGAGGAAGGUGGGUAUGUUAAUAGCAUAUUCAUUUGACGUUAGCUGCAGAAGAAGCACCGGCUAACUCCGUGCCAGCAGCCGCGGUAAUACGGAGGGUGCGAGCGUUAAUCGGAAUUACUGGGCGUAAAGCGCAUGCAGGUGGUUUGUUAAGUCAGAUGUGAAAGCCCCGGGGCUCAACCUCGGAAUUGCAUUUGAAAACUGGCAAACUAGAGUACUGUAGAGGGGGUAGAAUUUCAGGUGUAGCGGUGAAAUGCGUAGAGAUCUGAAGGAAUACCGGUGGCGAAGGCGGCCCCCUGGACAGAUACUGACACUCAGAUGCGAAAGCGUGGGGAGCAAACAGGAUUAGAUACCCUGGUAG